rnacentral:rRNA from 1 species
GAUGAACGCUAGCUACAGGCUUAACACAUGCAAGUCGAGGGGAAACGAUAUUGGAAGCUUGCUUCCGAUAGGCGUCGACCGGCGCACGGGUGAGUAACGCGUAUCCAACCUGCCCAUCACUUGGGGAUAACCUUGCGAAAGUAAGACUAAUACCCAAUGACGUCCAUAGAAGAUAUCUGAAAUGGAUUAAAGAUUUAUCGGUGAUGGAUGGGGAUGCGUCUGAUUAGCUUGUUGGCGGGGUAACGGCCCACCAAGGCGACGAUCAGUAGGGGUUCUGAGAGGAAGGUCCCCCACAUUGGAACUGAGACACGGUCCAAACUCCUACGGGAGGCAGCAGUGAGGAAUAUUGGUCAAUGGGCGAGAGCCUGAACCAGCCAAGUAGCGUGCAGGAUGACGGCCCUAUGGGUUGUAAACUGCUUUUAUAAGGGAAUAAAGUGAGUCUCGUGAGACUUUUUGCAUGUACCUUAUGAAUAAGGACCGGCUAAUUCCGUGCCAGCCGCCGCUGUAAUAC